CACCGACCUUGCCCUGAUUCUGGCUGACUGCUCUGAGUGGCCUUUAUCAGUCCCCUUGUUUAUCUACUUGUUUGUUCCCACGUGGAAUGAGCAUCCCCACGAGGGAAGGGAAUCUGCUUCCUGUGCUGCCCCACCUCUGAACAGCAGCUAGUGAUCACCCUCUGCCCCAUCCCACUCUUCGCAGAAAGGAGCUGCCACGAGACUGUGAGUGUUGACCGUGCGAGGACCAAGGUAGGAGUCACUAUGCUGCCGUCUUCAAACAGCAGGGUGGGGCUUCCUGGUGGAGAGCGGAGGUAGAGUUCGCAUCAGCUGAAGGCGGGCUGCCUCCCAGUUGUCCUGUAUCUUCUCUGCUGUCUUCUCUUUUCCAGUGAAGACAUUUCAUAAAUACCUUAGCUCUGAAAAUUUCUAUUUUAUCUUCAGGAGAGUCUUAGAUUUCAAGCUGUUUCAGGUGAGUGCAUGCUUCCUCACUCAUUGGAUCGUUGUCUUAAAUGACCGCACGAAAAACAGGGAUAACAUCAAAAUUUCCUAACCUCUCUGCAUUAGUGCCGAAAGACAGCACCCGUGCCUGCCUCAGCCAAGCCUUGAGGAAGUUUGGUGGCAUUAGAAAUCUUCAAAGAAACCUCAGUCAGCUGUGCGCCUUUUCAGCAGCGUUACUGACAUUGUUACUGGCAGUUCUUCCCUGUGUAUGGUAAUUGAAGCCAAGGCUAAGAGAUGUGCUGGUUAGACCUGUUCUGUGCCCACUGAGGAGGAAGGAAGGCGUCUGCUUGGCAGUUGACGUUGUGCAACUCAGCUCACUGUCUUUACUAACUUUUAUUUAACCUUACGGGCAAUCUUAUUCUUGAGGAUAAAAACAGCGCUUGUGUUUUUAAUGUUCUCUUCCUUCUCUGCAGCUCUGGCCGCCUUGUGACUGGGCUCACGUGGCUCUUAGGGUGGCCGUGCUUUUUCAUCGUUGCUAGUGUGCUGUUUGCCUGAGAAGACUCAGCCCUCCGAUGGACCCCAGGGCCGUGUAAUCCCAAGUUAAUUAAAAAUAAACUUUUAUGAAUAUUUAAGAGUCAUUGUUCAGCACAGC
rnacentral:lncRNA from 1 species